AAUUUAAAAUAAUUAUAUUUAUAUUUUAUAUAAAUUAUAUAAAUAAUUUAUGUUUUAAAAAUUUUUAGUUUAAAUUUUUUAUUAUUAUUAUAUAUUAUUUUAUUAAAAAUAUUUAUAAUAUUUUUAUUUUUAGUAUUUAUUUUAGAAAAAAAAAUUAUUUUUAUAUUUUUAGUAUUGUCAAAGAAAAUCAUUAAAUUUUUAAUAAUAAAUUUAAAAUAAUUUUACCUUUUGUAUCAGGGUUUAUUAAAUAAUUUAUUAAAUAUAAUAAAUUCUCGAAAUAAAUUAAUUUAAUUAAAAAAUUUUAAUUAAUAUUUAAUUAUUAUUAAAAAUUUUUAAUUAGAAAUUAUAUAUUUUCAUAAUUUAAUAUCUAGUUAUUUUAUAGAUUAAUUUAAUUAAAAUUGAUUUAUAUACAUAUGUAUAUAUAUAUAUAUACAUAUAUAAAUAUUAUUUAGAUUUUUAAAAAUCAUGAUAAUAAAAUUGGUUUAAUAAUUUUAGGAAUUAACUUAAAAUUAAUUUUAAUAUAGUUUAAAAUAAAAUAUUUUUAUAGAAUUAAAAAUUUUUAUUAAUAAAUAGUAUUUAAUAAUUAAAAAUUAUAUUAAUUAAAAUUUAAAAAAUUAUUUAAUAUUUUAUAAAAUAAUAAUUUUAAAUUAUUAAAAUUUAUUUAUAAUGAUAAAAUUAGUAAAAAAAUAUUUAAAUUAAUUAAUAAUAAUAAUUUAAUUUAAGAAAUUAGGCAAAAUUAAUUAUUCACCUGUUUAUUAAAAACAUGGUUUUUUGAUUAUAAUAAAAAAUCUAAUCUGCUCAAUGAAUAAAAUUUAAAUAGCUGCAGUAUUUUGACUGUACAAAGGUAGCAUAAUCAUUUGUCUUUUUAUUAAGGUCUGGAAUGAAUGAUUGAAUGAAAUAAUAACUGUCUCAAAUUAAUUUUUUGAAAUUAAUUUUAAGUAAAAAUUCUUAAAUUUUUAUAUAAGACGAGAAGACCCUAUAGAAUUUUAUUUUACUAUUUAAAUAGUAAUUUAAAUUAUAUAAUUUUUUAGAUUUGUAAAUUUAAUUGGGGAAAUUAAAAAAUUUAAUAAAAUUUUUGAUUAAAAAACAAAUUAUUUGAAUAAUUAAUCUUUUAAUAAAAAAUUAAAAAUAAAUUACCUUAGGGAUAACAGCAUAAUAUUUUUUGAAAGGCCUUAUUGAUGAAAAUUUUUAUGACCUCGAUGUUGAAUUAAGAUUAAUUUUUAAUGUAGAAAUUAAAUUUAUUAAGUCUGUUCGACUUUUAAAAUCUUACAUGAUUUGAGUUUAGAUCGGCGUGAGCCAGAUCGGAUUCUAUCUAUAUAAAUAUAAAAUAUUUUUGUACGAAAGGACUUAAUAUUUUAAAUAAUUUAUUUAAAAUUAAUAAUUUUAAUAUCUA
rnacentral:rRNA from 1 species